rnacentral:rRNA from 1 species
AUUGAACGCUGGCGGCAGGCCUAACACAUGCAAGUCGAACGAGUGGCGGACGGGUGAGUAAUGUCUGGGAAACUGCCCGAUGGAGGGGGAUGACUACUGGAAACGGUAGCUACUACCGCAUACCAUCAGAUGUGCCCAGCUGGGAUUAGCUGGUGGGUGGGGUAACGGCUCACCUAGGCGCCGAUCCCUAGCUGGUCUGAGAGGAUGACCGGCCACACUGGAACUGAGACAUGGCCCAGACUCCUACGGGAGGCAGCAGUGGGGAAUAUUUCACAAUGGGCGAAAGUCUGAUGCAGCCAUGCCGCGUGUGUGAAGAAGGCCUUCGGGUUGUAAAGCACUGUCAGCGGGGAGGCGUUACCCGCAGAAGAAGCACCGGCUAACUCCGUGCCAGCAGCCGCGGUAAUAC